GCGCCGAUGGUGUAGGGGUAUGCAACCUUCCCACGGUUGCGACCUGGGUUCCAGUCCCGGUCGGCGCA
rnacentral:tRNA from 1 species